CUCUGAAUCCCUUCUUUCCUCUCUUCUCUCUCACCCCCCUCUAACCCUAGCCCGCCGUCAUUGAUAUCCCCCUUGAUUCAUGGGGUUUUCCUUCGAUUUUAUACCUUAUCUUGCCUCACCCCUCUACUGGUUACACAAUUUCUAUGCUGCUUGAUGUGAAUUCCAAGAGACUCGAACCAACUCUGGUUCAAAGUCUCUCCUUUCUCGACUAUCCCGUCUAUGUUCACCCCGAUACGUUUCUGUUACUGUUCUGUAUGUGCUGAUUUCUAAACCUAUUCUCAUUUACCCUUUAUGUACUAGUUUUCAAACUUCCACUCUUAGUUAUUUAGAUUCCUACCACCCCCAGUGUGAGCACUGCCUAAGGUCCUUGAGACUCCUCUGAACUCUGACACAUUGGGGCAGGUCUUCUAAUAUUUUUAUGAACUGCUUCUCUGAGUGUGGUCCUGGUGUGAGCAUUGCCCGGGGGUCCUGAUACCCUUGGGAACUUUGACACACUAGGAGUCCAAUUUUAUAUGCUAUGGAUGGAUUACCAUUAUGCUUCAAAGUUGCUAUAUUUGAAGGCCUGGUUCCCAGGUUCAUAUUGGGCCUGCUAAGCUCCCUAUAGUGUAAUAGCUACUGUUAUGUAAUUUAUUCAUUCUAGGCUGUAAUAAUUUUUGUAAUGAACAUAUCUGGGGUUUAUGAGUAAAAACUGGGAGGGAUUUU